rnacentral:rRNA from 1 species
GACGAACGCUGGCGGCGUGCUUAACACAUGCAAGUCGAACGAAGUGGCGAACGGGUGAGUAACGCGUAAUCAACCUGCCCUUCAGAGGGGGACAACAGUUGGAAACGACUGCUAAUACCGCAUACUGAUGGAUGGACUCGCGUCCUAUCAGCUUGUUGGUGGGGUAGUGGCCUACCAAGGCGAUGAUCAGUAGCCGGUCUGAGAGGAUGAACGGCCACAUUGGGACUGAGACACGGCCCAGACUCCUACGGGAGGCAGCAGUGGGGAAUCUUCCGCAAUGGACGAAAGUCUGACGGAGCAACGCCGCGUGAGUGAUGACGGCCUUCGGGUUUUAAAGCUCUGUUAAUCGGGACGCGGUACCGGAAUAGAAAGCCACGGCUAACUACGUGCCAGCAGCCGCGGUAAUUC